UUUUGCAGCACUUAAACUCUCAUAGACAUAUCAGUAAAACUGUAGGCCCUCAGACAAAGCAAAGGGUUUCCCCUACCCUCUUUUUCUUUGCUAUCCUCUAUGCUCUGCCUCUUGCUUUAGUUUCAUACAACAUUCAGCUUAUCAUUAAGGAAUAAGGUUUUUGGCUCUUAUAUCACUAUCAUGGCGAAUCAGUGGAAAAUGAGAAACAUAGUAACACAUCAUGAUAAAUCCUCAACCUCGGUAUCUCCCCUCAGUGUCAUUCUUGGAAACGUGGGAGAUUUAGGAAAUGACAUUGAAGAGGAAGAAUUCUGUUGAAAUAGUGAUUCUCAACGUGGGGUCCUUGGACAGCAAGGAUGAGGAAAAAACACAGUCAUCCAAGGAGCCAGAAGUUAUAUGCUGACAAAAUGCCACCGACUACUUUAGUGGAAGCUGUUGUUGGGAUAGGGAAUCUGCACCCUCUAGAGAAGCAGGGACUUCAGCUGCUGAGGAAGGGCUGUCAGAGUUAUCCAUGUUAUUUUUUUUCAUUUUUGUGAGUACGGUGCCUCCUAAACAAUCACAUGAGGAUUUGAGACUGUUAGAACUCGGUGUUGUUAUCCACACAAAUGGAAACAUUCAUUAUUUUUAAAACAUGUUUGUUUGUAAAUAUCAGAUGAAGUAAAAAAUUGACAUUAACUGUAUUAUAGAAAUGGGAAAGUAUAUCCUUUUGUAAUAUAAGAUGUAUUAGAAGCAAAGAAGGGAAAUGGGCUUCAAACAAAAAUAAAUAAAUGUAAAGAUCAGUUUAA
rnacentral:lncRNA from 1 species